rnacentral:piRNA from 1 species
UACGAUAAGUUAACUCAUCCGAUUGA